GACGAACGCUGGCGGCGUGCUUAACACAUGCAAGUCGAACGAUGAAGCUAGAGCUUGCUCUGGUGAAUUAGUGGCGAACGGGUGAGUAACACGUGAGUAACCUGCCCCGAACUCUGGGAUAACUGCUGGAAACGGUAGCUAAUACUGGAUACGACCUACGCAGGCAUCUUCUGUAGGUGGAACGAAUUUCGGUUCGGGAUGGACUCGCGGCCUAUCAGCUUGUUGGUGAGGUAAUGGCUCACCAAGGCGACGACGGGUAGCCGGCCUGAGAGGGUGACCGGCCACACUGGGACUGAGACACGGCCCAGACUCCUACGGGAGGCAGCAGUGGGUAAUAUUGCACAAUGGGCGCAAGCCUGAUGCAGCAACGCCGCGUGAGGGAUGACGGCCUUCGGGUUGUAAACCUCUUUUAGUAGGGAAGAAGCGAAAGUGACGGUACCUGCAGAAAAAGCACCGGCUAACUACGUGCCAGCCGCCGCGGUAA
rnacentral:rRNA from 1 species